AGAGAGGCACAAACCUGUAUCACGAUUAUCCAAAAAAAGAGCAGGCACCAAAAUAACACCAGUUCAGUUUUUCCUUCUGAACUGCCCUGUGGAAAAAAGUCCCAAACCCUCUGAGGAGCUGACGCUCUUACAGGCAGGUUUGGGAAGAAGGACUGUGAAUAUUCCAGAUAAUGCCAGCCAUAAAGAGAUUACAAACAUUCUUUGUGAGACCUAUCCAAAGAUGUCUGAUCUGGAGGGGUCAUGGAUGCUUCACAAAGCCAUGGGUGGAUCUGGGCAACGAAAACUGAACCUGUUGUCCCCUGAAGAAGAAGGAUACACAGGGGCCAGUCUUGUGAAGAGCUGGGGAGGCAAG